rnacentral:rRNA from 1 species
UACGUAGGGGGCAAGCGUUGUCCGGAAUCAUUGGGCGUAAAGCGCGUGUAGGCGGCUCGGUAAGUCUGCUGUGAAAGUCCAGGGCUCAACCCUGGGAUGCCGGUGGAUACUGUCGAGCUCGAGUCCGGAAGAGGCGAGUGGAAUUCCUGGUGUAGCGGUGAAAUGCGCAGAUGUCAGGAGGAACACCAAUGGCGAAGGCAGCUCGCUGGGACGUGACUGACGCUGAGACGCGAAAGCGUGGGGAGCAAACAGG